rfam:Tilletia controversa strain DAOM 236426 scaffold_3575, whole genome shotgun sequence.
AGUGAGCGACCCAACAGCCUGCCCAUUGCCUGGGCACGGCACCAAUCCAAUCGUCAGUGGCUCGCCGGAUGU